rnacentral:rRNA from 1 species
CCUACGGGGGGCAGCAGUGAGGAAUAUUGGUCAAUGGGCGCGAGCCUGAACCAGCCACGUAGCGUGAAGGAUGACUGCCCUACGGGUUGUAAACUUCUUUUAUAAAGGAAUAAAGUGAGUCACGUGUGCCUUAUUGUAUGUACUUUAUGAAUAAGGAUCGGCUAACUCCGUGCCAGCAGCCGCGGUAAUACGGAGGAUCCGAGCGUUAUCCGGAUUUAUUGGGUUUAAAGGGAGCGUAGAUGGGUUGUUAAGUCAGUUGUGAAAGUUUGCGGCUCAACCGUAAAAUUGCAAUUGAUACUGGCAGCCUUGAGUACAGUUGAGGUAGGCGGAAUUCGUGGUGUAGCGGUGAAAUGCUUAGAUAUCACGAAGAACUCCGAUUGCGAAGGCAGCUUACUAAACUGUAACUGACAUUGAGGCUCGAAAGUGUGGGUAUCAAACAGGAUUAGAUACCCUUGUAGUC